rnacentral:rRNA from 1 species
AUGGCACGCUGCAUGCUCAAGGCAAAGCAGGUGCCGAGCACGUAUUGGGGGAAGGCCGUGCUCACGGCCGUCUUCAUCCUCAACCGCUCCUUCACAAGGAGUGUCGAUGGAAAAACGCCUUACGAGGCGUGGUAUGGGAGGAAACCCGAUGUACGCUUCCUCCGCACCUUUGGCUGCGUCGGGCACGUCAAGAUGACGCGCCCACAGCUGAAGAAGCUCGACGACAGGAGCACCCCAAUGGUGUUCAUGGGCUACGAGACGGGCUCUAAGGCGUACAAGAUGUACGACCCCGUCUCAAAGCGUGUGCAUGUCUCGCGCGAUGCCAUCUUCGAGAAGACGCGCGAUGGACUUGGGAGGCGUUGGGGGAGGCCCCGGCAAGCAGCUCCUUCACCGUGGAGUACCCGAUGUACUCUAGGACCCCGGGAAAUAAGACCCCAGGAAGUUCCACCCCAGGAAGCCUGGGAAGUGUGGAUCCGGGAACCGCAACCCCGAGAACACCGUCCCCGGACACCCCGGCGUCAAGCAAGGUGGGUCCCGGGAGGCAGUUCGCAACCUCGCCAACGGUGA